rnacentral:lncRNA from 1 species
CAAGGUGAAGCAUGAAGUAUCAGAAUAAGUUGCCCCAGGAACUGUUUCCAAACAUUACAGCAGUGAAAGAGAAGCUUCAGUGGACCACUUGUCUCUCUGUAUGUGUGUAUGCAGCCAGCUAAUUAACUUGCAUGCUGGUAUAGCUGUAUUUAUUGUUAAUGUUUUUAAGUGCCCAUGUUAAUAUGCUGCUGUAUUGAAUUGCAGCAAUUCAAGCUGGUUUCCUGGAGAUUAUAAUUGCCCAGUAAGAUCAAGACUUUUUAAUGCAUUUUUUCAAUUGUUGUUUAAAAGAUUGGGCUGAUUAAAAUUUUCCUUAUUUUGGUUCCUUUUCUGUAGAUCAAGAGAUGGCAGGACAGGGCCAGUGUAUCGCUGUUGUUGUUGUUGAUAUAGCAAUUAGGAGAAAUCAGUAAAAGACCAGAUAUCCAUUAUGCUAAUUAUAUUCAUACAUAUCCCAUUGCUCCUUCCUGCUGGCUGUCUAAAAUCUCAUUUAAUUUGAAAGGUUUGCCUUGAAGAAUUAUCAGCCUAGUAACAAGAUUUUAUUUACUCGACUUAAGCUCAGGGAAGCCUUAUCCUCAUUAAAUCCCACCUUGGGGAGGGGGGCGGGCGAGCUUGGUAUUGGCAGUCAACUUUCCAAUUUCCAAGGCAUGGACAAAAACUGGACGAAGUGUUUAAAAGGCUGUCAGAACAUCCCCCAAACAGAAGCAUUUUUCUAAUAUAGUGGUACCUUGGUUUUCGAACGUCUCCGUUGACAAAUGUUUCGGUUUUCGAAUGCCAGAAACCCGGAAGUAACUGCUUCAGUUUUCAAACGCUUUUCGGAAAUCUAACAUGCCAUGCAGCUUCCAUAUUGAGUUUUCCGUAAGUAAAUGCAUCUGUAAGUAAAUGCUUCAGUUUUCAAAUGUUUUAGAACUCGAACGGUUUUUUGGGAUGGGUUAUGUUCGAAAACUGAGGUAUCACAGUAACAAUAAAAAAGGAAAGGAAAAUGGAGAUACUCUAUAAUCCAGCUUUAGUUUGGUGUUCCGACCUCCUCCUGUAAGAACAUAAGAUGAGCCUGCUGGAUUAGGCCCAUGGCCCAUCUAGUCCAGCAUCCUGUUCUCAUCAACCAGAGACACAGAUGUAGAUUUCCACCAGGUUUGGACCUUCUGGGCAAGAACAGGGGAGGUGCUAAACCCCAAAUCUCUUCCCUUAUCUCCCAAUGAGACCCUGGAAGUUUGGUUUGCACCACACCAUGGUUCAAUGGUGGGUGAUUCCCAUGGAGUGAGGUUGGAUUCUUUCCUAAAUGGAUGGAGUACCAUUCACCAGCAGGGGCUGAGGGGAAUGAGGAAAUGAUCCUUAUCCUGCUUCCAUGUCAACCCCACUGUCCACUGUAGUCAAUAAAGAUUAGGAUUAGACCUUUUUUCACCCAACACCUUGUAGCCAAGGCCACAGAUUGUGCCUUCCUGGGCAAUAUAAUUUCACUUAGUAAAAUAUCUUAGAACAUGUUUUAUAAAUCUAUAAAUCUAUAGCACCUAAUUGUUUUUUCCUCAAUUGCCUCUAGGGGUAGGGGGGGCUAUAAAAUCUGCCCAAUAAGGGUUUUCUAAAUUGUCUUUAGCUAUGUGGAGGGGUUAAAGUAGAUCCCUGGAUAUGGGCACGUCUAAGGAUAUUUGAGAGUGCAAGAGGCUGACUGGAAAUCAUUAUGCUAUCAUUAGCUGCUUGCUUUUUGUUGCGCUUAGAGGUAAUUGUGCUUAAUGCUUUGAUUAUUUCAAUUAUACUGUGUACACAGUGGAGAAUUUGUUUUUGUACAUGCUUAGCUUGGCUUAUGACUUGACAACUGGUGUAUUAAGUAGCUUGGACUUGAUGGGUAUGACAGAGCAACAAACUGUUUUGUUAACCUUUCCACAUUUUCAAAUCUUUUUCACCUGGGUCUUUCAAGUUUAAUUAACUUAUUUAAGUUGCUGGUUUUAAUUCCUUUUGCUAUCGAUGAUAUAAAAUAGUUCCCAAAAUGUAUCUUCCAAGAAUUAAAAUAUUUUUUAUUUCUUUACUCCCCGCCCCCCUUCCCAUGCUUCAGUUUAUCUUUGAUUCCUUUGCCCCCAGCCUUCUUUAAGCCACAUUAGGAGGCAAAGGAAUCCUGGUGGCUACCACACUCCUGGUUACAAUAGAGAUGUAGUAGAGAAGGAAUACUUGCUCCCGGCCCAUUUUCUUUAUGUUAUGGUAAAUUUCUGUUGUAUUGAAUGAAGUUGUUCCAGUUUCUCAAGGAUGUCCACUUGUGCAAAUGAACUUCCCCUCCCUCUCCUCCCUCUAGGCAUUCCAAAUCUACUAUAUGGCUUCUUGCAACCUCCUGGAGCAGAUUUGGGGUGCCAGUGCAGAGAACACAUGAGAGGGAAGAUCCAUUCUGAAAGCAAGACCUUCCACUACCAGGAGGACUUCAUGGGAUACAGCCCUAUGUUUCCAGACCCCUGACUUGGAAUAGACAUGGCUCUGUAAAGAUUCUAAAGACACUUUCCAUCAUGUAGGCUGUAUAGCAUAUUCUAACUUCCUGUUCAAUCCUUUCUUACAUUC